rnacentral:lncRNA from 1 species
CACACACACACACACACACAACCCUCCAAAAUGAAGAAGAAGAAAAAAAACUAAAAAACAAAUGCCAUUAUUGUGCUAUACAGUGGGUGGUAGACUACUUGUUAUUUGAAGAAAUCCCAAAGCUUGGUGAGUCAGGAUGUCUGCGUCUCCUCCUCCUUGUCAGAGAUGAAUUCCAACUGCAUCUUUCAGCCGCGGUCCAUUCCAGAGAGCAACGUCCAGAAGGACAGCUUCGAUAAUCAACACUUGAUAAGCAUGAUGAUCCCCAACGAGACCUACAGCAGUGGUAUUCUGCAUCCCGCUACCUCAACAACACUUUGGCGCCAGGAAAAUCACUCCCCGAAUAUGGGCUAUUACGGCCAUGGCAUGGCUCCCAGCUCACCAUCAGGUUCCCUGAAUAUGUCAAGUCCGGUCGAUUACAAUAGUUAUUCGCCACAGGAGUCUUACUCUUCGUCGUGUUACAACUCUCCGACGAGGCUGGACUUGAGUUAUGGGUUUGUUCCAGAGCACUACCACUACCAGAACUGCAACCUCCAGGAGAGCGUCUCCACUCCAGAAUACGCACCUUAUGGCACAUCAGACUAUGUAUACGCCUUGCCUGCGGAGGACAGCUACUUCAGGCGUGAUUUGUCAAAUUCAGAGAUGUGCUACCUUUGAAUAUUUAUUCGGUCUUUGUUGUCUGUGUAAAUACAGUAUAGUGUACAGUCAAAACAAUGUCUGUAACUCGAUGUCAAACGUUGACACUUGUGGCACUUGUUUUGAGAUGUAGGCCUGCUUUGCAUUUCAGAGUGUUUGCGGUCGAAGUUUCCUCCGAGUGUCUGUUUUUGAUAUGAUUGGAAUAAUGGUUUUAGAAUUCCCGAGAUUGGAUAAAUGUUGGAUAUGUGUGGGCUUAGUGCUAUCUUCUUAGUUAUUGACUUUGAUAUUUAAGCAAUAAGGCACGAGGGGGUGUGGUUUAUGGUCAAAAUACCACGGCCAAGGGCUGUUCUAAUCUCGAUGCAACGCGGAGUGCCUGGAUAUUGGCCAUAUACCACAAAUGCCCUAGGUGCCUUCAUGCUAUUAUGAACUGGUUACCAACAUAAUUAGAGCAGUAAAAAUAAAUGUUUUGUCAUACCAAUGGUAUA